UAGGGAAUCUUCGGCAAUGGGGGGAACCCUGACCGAGCAACGCCGCGUGAGUGAAGAAGGUUUUCGGAUCGUAAAGCUCUGUUGUUAAGGAAGAACGAGUGUGAGAAUGGAAAGUUCAUACUGUGACGGUACUUAACCAGAAAGGGACGGCUAACUACGUGCCAGCAGCCGCGGUAAUACGUAGGUCCCGAGCGUUGUCCGGAUUUAUUGGGCGUAAAGCGAGCGCAGGCGGUUAGAUAAGUCUGAAGUUAAAGGCAGUGGCUCAACCAUUGUAGGCUUUGGAAACUGUUUAACUUGAGUGCAGAAGGGGAGAGUGGAAUUCCAUGUGUAGCGGUGAAAUGCGUAGAUAUAUGGAGGAACACCGGUGGCGAAAGCGGCUCUCUGGUCUGUAACUGACGCGGAGGCUCGAGAGCGUGGGGAGCGAACAGG
rnacentral:rRNA from 1 species